rnacentral:rRNA from 1 species
CAUGAACGCUGGCGGCAGGCCUAACACAUGCAAGUCGCACGAGUGGCGGACGGGAGCGUAAUGUCUGGGAAACUGCCUGAUGGAGGGGGAUAACUACUGGAAACGGUAGCUCAUACCGCAUACCCUCGGAUGUGCCCAGAUGGGAUUAGCUAGUAGGUGGGGUAAAGGCUCACCUAGGCGACGAUCCCUCGCUGGUCUGAGAGGAUGACCAGCCACCCUGGAACUGAGACACGGUCCAGACUCCUACGGGAGGCAGAAGUGGGGAAUAUUGCAGUAUGGGCGCAAGCCUGAUGCAGCCAUGCCGCGUGUAUGAAGAAGGCCUUCGGGUUUUAAAGUACUUGCAGCGGGGAGGCGUUACCCGCAGAAGAAGCACCGGCGAACUCCGUGCCAGCAGCCGCGGUAAUAC